GAACGCACAUUGCGCCCUUUGGUAUUCCGAAGGGCAUGCCUGUUCGAGCGUCAUUAUCACCCCUCAAGCCCGGCUUGCUGUUGGUGCCGGCGUGGCUUUAGGCCUCGUCCCGCCCAAAGAUAAUGACGGCGUCUGUGAGGACCCCUGUACACUGAGCUCUCGGGCACGUACACGGUUGGGAGUCCAGGCGCCGGUCGACGUCCGCAAGGACACUUUUUCUAAGGUUGACCUCGGAUCAGGUAGGGAUACCCGCGGAACUUA
rnacentral:misc_RNA from 1 species